UUCCUCCCCAGCCGUCCAUUUGCCUGUAAUCCACUGAUGCAGUCAGUGCCUUUGUGGUCUGAUCACUUCUCUAGUCCCCACAUCUGAGCACUGCUGCUUUGAGGGUUAGUCCCCCAACACACCGGUCUGGGGACACUUGGUGUCUAAGACAUAACAGGUGUUACAAUGGGGCAGUCUGUGUUUGUGUUUGGUAACCCUGGAAAGGUGGAGGGUCCGUGGGCGAUGAGGAGCGCGGCCUCGCACUUCACAGGCACUCGCCUGGUCCAUAUUCGCGGGAGGUGAGUCUAGUGAGAUCCACCCACGCGGACUGCAGCCCCCACCGCGUCAGCGUGGACCUGGCCUUCAAGGAGAGGACAGCCAGGAGCAGUUCUGUACCUCAGGCAGUGACUGCAGGGCGCUCUGGAGCGACACCCAGUCCCUUGGGAGGUCCGAUGUACAGCACAGCUCCUGAGCAGGAGGAAAGAGCCUUGUGAUCGGGCCCUCUCAGGGGAAAACUCACACUGUCUGCUUCUAAUCCAAAGAUUACUUGCAGACAAUCUGUUUUCUGUAGUACAUUUGUAUGUGUUUAUUAAUAUACUAAGUCUCUUUCAGUGAAAUCCAUUUUGGAAAUUAAAAUAAUAAUUGUUUCUGAA